AUUGAACGCUGGCGGCAGGCCUAACACAUGCAAGUCGAACGAGUGGCUGACGGGUGAGUAAUGUCUGGGAAACUGCCUGAUGGAGGGGGAUAACUACUGGAAACGGUAGCUAAUACCGCAUACCAUCAGAUGUGCCCAGAUGGGAUUAGCUAGUUGGUGGGGUAACGGCUCACGAAGGCGACGAUCCCUAGCUGGUCUGAGAGGAUGACCACGCACACGGGAAAUGAGAAAAGGUCCAGACUCCUACGGUAGGGGGCAGUGGGGAAGAUGGAACAAUGGGCGCAGACCAGAUGCAGCCAUGCCGGGUGUAGGAGGAAGGCCUUAAGGUAUUAAAGUACUUUCAGCGGGGAGGGGUUACACGCAGAAGAAGCACCGGCUGACUCCGUGCCAGCAGCCGCGGUAAUUC
rnacentral:rRNA from 1 species